rnacentral:tRNA from 1 species
AAAAAGAUAAGCUAAAUAAAGCUUUUGGGUUCAUGCCUCAAAUAUAAAGAAAUUUUCUUUUUA